rnacentral:rRNA from 1 species
GGGAGUAUCGACCCUCUCUGUGCCGAAGCUAACGCUUUAAGUGUCCCGNCUGUGGNGAGUACGGUCGCAAGGCUAAAACUCAAAGGAAUUGACGGGGGCCCGCACAAGCAGCGGAGCGUGUGGUUUAAUUCGAUGCUACACGAAGAACCUUACCAAGAUUUGACAUGCAUGAAGUAGUGAACCGAAAGGGAAACGACCUGUUAAGUCAGGAGUUUGCACAGGUGCUGCAUGGCUGUCGUCGCUCGUGCCGUGAGGUGUUUGGUUAAGUCCUGCAACGAGCGCAACCCUUGUUGCUAGUUAAAUUUUCUAGCGAGACUGCCCCGCGAAACGGGGAGGAAGGUGGGGAUGACGUCAAGUCAGCAUGGCCUUUAUAUCUUGGGCUACACACACGCUACAAUGGACAGAACAAUAGGUUGCAACAGUGUGAACUGGAGCUAAUCC